CAACUAUGAUGAUUUUCUACUUCAGGUCCGUGUUUCUGAAAUUCUGUGAUAUUUAACGAAGUUCUGAGUUU
ensembl:snoRNA SNORD18 Small nucleolar RNA SNORD18